GUAUUGUAUUGCGUUAAACGCGACAUGCAUUCCAUAAGACUUGGUUACAGUGUAUGUGUGUAAAAAUGUAGGACCACAGCAAGAGGAUGGUGUCCCCAGGCCAUAGAACUACAGAGGGUGCACAGGUGUGAGUGGAUGUGUAAACAGAGCGUGCACAUGCCCCCCUUCGAGGGCCAGCAACAACUCGUGUCGACAAUUCGGUAAUGAUCCUUCCGCAGGUUCACCUACGGAAA
rnacentral:misc_RNA from 1 species